rfam:Lachnospiraceae bacterium strain KH1P17 genome assembly, contig: Ga0059119_118
GCGUGCGUAGCUCAGCUGGAUAGAGCGUCUGGCUACGGACCAGAAGGUCGUGGGUUCGAAUCCUGUCGCACGCA